GACGAACGCUGGCGGCGUGCCUAACACAUGCAAGUCGAGCGAGUGAAUCUCCUUCGGGAGUGAAGCUAGCGGCGGACGGGUGAGUAACACGUGGGCAGCCUGCCUCAUAGAGGGGAAUAGCCUUCCGAAAGGGAGAUUAAUACCGCAUAAGAUUGUAGCUUCGCAUGAAGUAGCAAUUAAAGGAGCAAUCCGCUAUGAGAUGGGCCCGCGGCGCAUUAGCUAGUUGGGGGGGUAAUGGCUCACCAAGGCGACGAUGCGUAGCCGACCUGAGAGGGUGAUCGGCCACAUUGGGACUGAGACACGGCCCAGACUCCUACGGGAGGCAGCAGUGGGGAAUAUUGCACAAUGGGGGAAACCCUGAUGCAGCAACGCCGCGUGAAUGAUGACGGCCUUCGGGUUGUAAAGCUCUGUCUUCAGGGACGAUAAUGACGGUACCUGAGGAGGAAGCCACGGCUAACUACGUGCCAGCCGCCGCGGUAAUAC
rnacentral:rRNA from 1 species